GCCCGCGCGAAACCGAGUCACCGAGUGCGACCGUCGUUGGCGCUGGUGGCAGUUGGUCACCGGUCCCCGGACGCCUUCCAGCCUUCUUCCACGCAAUCGAAAAGCUUGCCGACGAACCUGGCCGCGUCCUCCGCUGUAGCAGCAGCGCUCUGACAGGAUCGCGGAAAGAUCGCAGCCACGUUUACAUGAUUCGACGCCGUACACGCGCACAGUGCAGAACAACGCCCCCUCACAGCUCGUGAAGAAGAUGCGCCGCUCUUCGUUUGACGCCGGUCAGCGCGUUGGACGGACGGACGUGCACAAGCCGGCCCACCAACGAGCGCGCGCAGUCGCCGACGCGGAAAAAGCCGGUUUUGACGAAAGAGCGGGAGCGGCAGCAACAGCAACAAUAAAAGGCUACCUGCCGCCAGGCUCAUGCCCGGGCCGUCAUCUGCGGUUGUCCUCACCUCUGACCUGGCUCGUGCCCGGCGCACCUUCAGCGGAGGCCUCUGCCCGCCUUCCCCCAUGUGCGUCCCAAUCCCGGUUCAUGUCCAGGCCGUCAUUGGCAGCUGCGUCUGCCUGCUACCGCCCAGGUCUGUCCCGGCUCGUACCUGAGCCAUUACCGGCAGUUGUGUCUACCUCCAGCCGUCUUGGCCGUUUACCCGGCUUGUGCCCGGGACAUCAUCGAUGGUGGUGUCCGCCUCCCGCCGUCCUGUCCUCUGUGCUGGCCUGUGCCCGGGCCGUCAAAUUUCGACCACAGCCCUACUUGCGGUCUCGGCCGCUUUCCAGGGUGCGGUACUAGGCCUGUGUCCCAGACCGCCCACUGAGAAAACCCGGCCACCUCCUGAGUGCACCCCAGGUAGCUCUGAGCCAGUCCGGAGACCGUGGUUUCUAUCGGCACGUCAACGUGAUGGCCGACCGUGCUGGCGUGUUCCCCAGUCAGCUGACCCUGGAUACUCGGGCAUGAACGACGAGACGCGAGUCACCAUGACGCGGGUGAUUCACCAGUGAGAACUACCGUGACAAUACACGCGCCGACUCAUCUGCCUAAACUCUGAUAUAUUUGCCGCAUGUGUGUCCUUGUCACAAUAUAGUCUUUGUCUGAGUCCA